CAAGACUCAACAUGGAACGUGACUGACUAAACAACAAACCCCUAGACUAACUUUCGACCAACAGAGGCAAUAAGCACAGCUUGCUUAACAGUAGAGCGUCCAGUUCAUCAAACAGCAAAAUGUAUAAAGCAGCCGUGAGCAGCACAGCACCAUACAAGGAAGGAGACGUAGAAACAAUCCUGAGGGCAAUCGACAAGUCCUCCAUAGAAGGCAAAAAUACUCCCAAAUUAUUGAAUCUUAGCUCAGCAUCUUCCAGACUCCGACUACGACUGUGUGUAGAUGCCAGCCAGAACAAGAAAGCCGAGUCUACAUGACAUUGGAGAGAAGAGCUGCCUCGAUGAUGUCCAGCCAAGAAGAGCUCUACUGAAGCAGCGGCUGCAAGUGAUACUUUCCUGGCUUGCCUCACAUCCCGGAAAGCAAACAAGUGAACAAGUAGUGUGGAGAACUAAUCAAAACUCUUGAAAUUGCCAGAACAGAACGUAUAAUUAAUGUGAAAUUUCGAGUGAGGGGGUACGGAGAAGAGCCGGGGGGAGUGACGCUGCAGAGACGCAGUAUUGAAUUUAACGUGUGAGCACUGGACUGAAUUGUGUAAUGUAAUCAGGCAUUCUUGAAGGUCAAUUAGUGUAUGUCGGCCCCAAUCUAUAAUUCAGAAAUUGCUGACACGUUCCUGUUGAAGAAUUGGGAUAAAUUGUGUGGAAAGCCCUUACAACUCGGCAACCAGGACGAAAAAAUAGAGGACUUCAAUGAAUCCUUCCCAACAACACCCCUUAGCUAAGUGACGCUUAUCUAUAAAGUACAGUGGAUUCUGCGUUGGAAAUCGUAAAUCCUAGCUGUAGAGGUAGCAUUAGGGUGUUUUUUUCCAUAAAAUAGUUAUGAUCCAGUAAUUAAAUGAUAAGUGUUAAUAAGAAUUUCCUUUCCAAUAACACUAAUAAUUUAUGUAUAAUUAUGUUGUGUACCCAGCAAGCCUAAUCAUGUACAGCCCACACAACUUUAAUUUACCAGGGUAGCUGGUUUUAAUAUUAUAAUUAUUAACUUAAUGUCAGGUCUAGUUUUUUGAGUGGUGAAGAAGUGAGCAUCGAGGGAGUUACAGUUCAGCUGCCUGCUGUGACUAAAGUCCCACUUACCUCACUCAAAAUACUUGCAGGAGAGCUGCAACGUUACAGUGUUCCGAAUCCUCCGGGUGAUCUUCCAUGUGAGCAGUGAUAUCUACCUUCCAAAUUUCUCAAGUGAGAA